ACGACUGAAUGAGGAAAUUAUACAACAAAACAGCAUAGGAGAAAGAGGACUGCAGCCUUUGCUGAGUGUUAAUGGGCUUGAAAUGUUUGGGUUUCUUUCUUCACCAAUUGUUCAGGCUAUUGAGGCUCUUGAUCCCAAUCAUCAGNUGUAGAGGGUACUGGAAUAAUAGGCUUUCGAAUUUGAGCACUACAAGUGAUUUCAAGAAGUCCCCAUUUGGACUGAGUUGCAAUCUCAUAGACAAUCCAGCUAUAGGAGGUCAUCAUUCAAGUGAAGAAGAGGUGCAGCAUGUGCUGCAAGGAUUAUUCAAGAAGGCAAGUGCUGAAGAAUUACAAAUAAUGCAUAGGAUAUUCUGCAGCGACGCACAAAGUGCUGAAUGGAGAGCUGCAUUCACAACAUUGAAGGAGGAGAUUAACAGAACAAGUAG
rnacentral:misc_RNA from 1 species